rnacentral:rRNA from 1 species
CAGCAGCAGCCGCGGUAAUACGAAGGGUGCAAGCGUUACUCGGAAUUACUGGGCGUAAAGCGUGCGUAGGUGGUGGCUUAAGUCCGUUGUGAAAGCCCUGGGCUCAACCUGGGAAUUGCAGUGGAUACUGGGUCACUAGAGUGUGGUAGAGGAUAGUGGAAUUUCCGGUGUAGCAGUGAAAUGCGUAGAGAUCGGAAGGAACAUCUGUGGCGAAGGCGACUAUCUGGGCCAACACUGACACUGAGGCACGAAAGCGUGGGGAGCAAACAGGAUUAGAUACCCCGGUAGUCCCUGUCUCUUAUAA